rnacentral:rRNA from 1 species
UACGGGGGGUGCGAGCGUUGUCCGGAAUCACUGGGCGUAAAGGGCGCGUAGGUGGCCUGAUAAGGGUGUGGUGAAAGUCCGGGGCUCAACCCCGGAUCGGCCGUGCCGACUGUUAGGCUAGAGUACUGUAGGGGCAGGCGGAAUUCCGAGUGUAGCGGUGGAAUGCGUAGAGAUCCGGAGGAAGACCGGUGGCGAAGGCGGCCUGCUGGGCAGUUACUGACACUGAGGCGCGACAGCGUGGGGAGCAAACAGG